rnacentral:rRNA from 1 species
AUUGAACGCUGGCGGCAGGCCUAACACAUGCAAGUCGAGCGCGAAAGGCUUUCGGGCUGAGUAGAGCGGCGGACGGGUGAGUAACGCGUAGGAAUCUACCUGGUAGUGGGGGACAACUUGGGGAAACUCAAGCUAAUACCGCAUACGCCCUAAGGGGGAAAGCGGGGGACCUUCGGGCCUCGCGCUAUCAGAUGAGCCUGCGUAGGAUUAGCUAGUUGGUGAGGUAAAGGCUCACCAAGGCGACGAUCCUUAGCUGGUCUGAGAGGAUGAUCAGCCACACUGGGACUGAGACACGGCCCAGACUCCUACGGGAGGCAGCAGUGGGGAAUAUUGCGCAAUGGGGGCAACCCUGACGCAGCCAUGCCGCGUGUGUGAAGAAGGCCUUCGGGUUGUAAAGCACUUUAAGUGGGGAGAAAAGGGUAGGCGUUAAUAGCGUUUACCUGUGAUGUUACCCACAGAAUAAGCACCGGCUAACUCCGUGCCAGCAGCCGCGGUAAUACGGAGGGUGCGAGCGUUAAUCGGAAUUACUGGGCGUAAAGCGCGCGUAGGCGGUUUGUUAAGUCAGCUGUGAAAGCCCCCGGGCUCAACCUGGGAACUGCAGUUGAUACUGGCCCGACUAGAGUACGAGAGAGGGAGGUAGAAUUCCAUGUGUAGCGGUGAAAUGCGUAGAUAUAUGGAGGAAUACCGGUGGCGAAGGCGGCCUCCUGGCUCCGAUACUGACGCUGAGGUGCGA